rnacentral:lncRNA from 1 species
GUGAAAGCAAGGCCUUCCCUGGGGGCGGAGAUUGUACGAGACUUUGGGAAGUUUCGCUUCCUCUGCAUGGAGCUGGAGAUAGGGAUGUGGAACUUGGGAGAGAGAGAGAGGUGAGAGGGAGGUAUCCGAUCUGAUCGAGGAGUGGACCCUCUGCAAUAUGGCGACUCACCUAGAGCUAAGGAGGCAGGAUGGAAGUGUGCAUGCUUGAGUAGAAAGCAAGUGGCACCAAGAGGAGCUAAACAUGCCGGAGAGGAAGAGCAUAGGUGUGAGCCCACAGACUGAGAAAAAUGAACAUCUUUUAGCUGAAAAAAGAUACCUCAGAAAGAUACGUAGAUCUGACUGGAAAUAGUGUAUCUGCCUUGUGAUGCUCAUUUUUCAUUCCUACCCGUCAAUUAUGCAAGGGCUGAUAUUGAAAUUCAGUUGGUCUGGGGAGACUCUGCUUCUGGCUGUGGGUGACGGACGUGCCUUGCCUCUGGGCUGUUCCAUGCAUCUCAUUCCAGGCUGACAGGCAGCAGCAACUCAGGGCAUAUUCUUCUCCUGGCUACAGCAAGUGAGCAGGGAAUGGCUCAUUUUAAACCUCUGCUCAUGCAACAGGCUCUGACAUCCCAUUGGCCAAAAUGAGUCAUACGCUAAGUCCAAAGUCAAGGGUGGAAAGAACACGCUGCCCACCAUGAGUCCAUGUCAAGGGUAUUGAAGUGUAAUUUUCUAGCAGGAGAAUGAAGAAUUGAGGCCAAUGAUUCAGUUCACCACAGGUUUCCAAGAUUUUUGUAGUCACUUUUCAUCUCACUAAAACCUAUCAUACAAACCCCACCACAGGCAGUGGUAUCUUUGUCAUCUUUCCCCAGAAUAUGUUUUGUUUACUCCCAUCAGAGCUCCCGCUUCAUCAGGAGUUACACUAACACAGCUUUUAACUCAAACAUCCUUUUUUUUUUUUCUUUUUUUAAGUGGAAAUCAUUCCUUAUUGAAUUCACUAUUGAAUUCUUCUCCUGGAUGCCUUUCCUUAGAGAUUCUCACGCACACACAAAAGUAGUCCUCCUCUGUUCUUUAGGGAAACAGAACCCAGAAAACUCUGUCAAGUGAAGCAUGCUGGCCACGUAUGUGUUUUCCUCCGACAGAAUAGCACACUUCCCAAACCACUUCACU